rnacentral:lncRNA from 1 species
GCAGCACUCCGAGCCUGCAAGCUGCCUCAUCCUGUCUCUGCAAAUCCAGUGAGGUCGCAGCUCUGCAGCUGUCUGUGGACUUCUAAUUGCUCCUCACACUGCACACAUUUGUGCACGGGCAUUCGAGAUGCACCCCAAUUCAUGUCGUUUUUACAGGGAAGGUGUGAGAGCCCUGGUGUGUUGAGCCCAUCCUCGUGUGUUCUCUAAGCAUCCCAGUGCAAUCUCGAGCAGGAGUGCUGGGCCCCAGCCCAGGCCCAAGGUCACCAAAAGCAGCUCUCAGCAGAACUGGAUGCAGCAGCCAGAGCUGCUGCAGAAAUUGAGCGUGCCAAGCUCAAAUAGCAGCCCAAAUGCACCCGGUAUGAAGUCGGCCCCACAAGCUGCUGAGCAGUUCACAAGACUGGGCUGCUGCAGUCCCAAAGUUAAAUAGCAAAUGGGAAACCGCACAGGUUUCCAACUCCAGGGGGAUACUUCCACCACCCUGGCCCUACCCAGUCAAAUACCCAGCAGAUACUUUGCAUGCCUGAUGAGAUCCAAAGCUCACCGCAUUCCACUGAUCAUGAGCCAGAAAUGCUUCCUACCACAAAACUAACUGGGUAGGACAAAAAGCAGCGGCCACGAUGCCCCUAACCCAACCCUAAAGACGUGACAGCCCUUCCCCUACAGCUGCAGCAGGAGCAGCCAAGAAGCUAGCUGCAUUUAUGCUCCACCACCAACAGGGAACGUGCCACCAGAACUUACUGUACCGCAGCAGGCGACCCAGGUUGUCCUGCUCCAUCCUACCCUUACGAGCAAAUGGCUGAAAACAUUUGCAUUUUUGCUCCUCACCCCUCUUCUGCCUAAGCCAUGCAAGUGACCCGAAGUAAUGAGCGCGGGCUGAUUAAUCGCUGGAUGUGUUCUCUCCUGCAGCGCUGAGAGGUCAGCUGGGGUGAAAGCGGAGGGUGACAUGACGUGCAACACGAAACACCCCUGCUUUUAAGCAGCCACCUUGUUCGCUGAACCAGGCACAAACCAAGGAAGAUUUCUUUUCAGUGCAUGCACUCAGGCUUACACGGACUGGUUGGGAAACAGUUGCUGAGCAGAACUGACUCAGAAGAUGGAGAAAAAGCCUUUUGCGGGCCUCCCCUCCCCAAGGCUAAGUGCUUAACAGCGUAUUAAAAAUGCAGACAUCUUAGUGCAGAUUUCUAAGGAUUUCUCUACAUUUACGUAACAGCUGGCAGCUCGCUCCUCGGUGGCUGAGAGCUUGCUUGUUUUGGUUGAUUUUUUUAGUCUUCUUUAAACCAUCUGCAAGAGCUCCUGCCUUUACAGCUUUGGGUGUGGAGGAAGGACGAGCAAACGCAGCCCCCCCUAACAGCCAUAGACAUUGUCAGCAAACUGCAGGGGAUGGGGCCAGCGAUGUAGCAAACUGCAGCAACCAUCCCAAGAUGGUUUCAUCUGAGACUGCAUUUCAGAAAUGCA